rnacentral:rRNA from 1 species
UACGAAGGGGGCUAGCGUUGUUCGGAAUUACUGGGCGUAAAGCGCACGUAGGCGGACAUUUAAGUCAGGGGUGAAAUCCCAGAGCUCAACUCUGGAACUGCCUUUGAUACUGGGUGUCUUGAGUAUGGAAGAGGUGAGUGGAAUUCCGAGUGUAGAGGUGAAAUUCGUAGAUAUUCGGAGGAACACCAGUGGCGAAGGCGGCUCACUGGUCCAUUACUGACGCUGAGGUGGCGAAAGCGUGGGGAGCAAACAGGG